CCUACGGGAGGCUGCAGUGGGGAAUAUUGGACAAUGGGCGCAAGCCUGAUCCAGCAAUGCCGCGUGGGUGAAGAAGGUCUUCGGAUCGUAAAGCCCUUUCGACAGGGACGAUGAUGACGGUACCUGUAGAAGAAGCCCCGGCUAACUUCGUGCCAGCAGCCGCGGUAAUACGAAGGGGGCUAGCGUUGCUCGGAAUUACUGGGCGUAAGGGGCGCGUAGGCGGCUUAGUCAGUCAGGCGUGAAAUUCCUGGGCUUAACCUGGGGGCUGCGUUUGAGACGGCUGAGCUAGAGGGUAGGAGAGGGUCGUGGAAUUCCCAGUGUAGAGGUGAAAUUCGUAGAUAUUGGGAAGAACACCGGUGGCGAAGGCGGCGACCUGGCCUAUUACUGACGCUGAGGCGCGACAGCGUGGGGAGCAAACAGGAUUA
rnacentral:rRNA from 1 species